UACCAUGCAGUCGAGCGGAACGAUGGUAGCUUGCUACCAGGCGUCGAGCGGCGGACGGGUGAGUAAUACUUAGGAAUCUACCUAGUAGUGGGGGAUAGCACGGGGAAACUCGUAUUAAUACCGCAUACGACCUACGGGAGAAAGGGGGCAGUUUACUGCUCUCGCUAUUAGAUGAGCCUAAGUCGGAUUAGCUAGAUGGUGGGGUAAAGGCCUACCAUGGCGACGAUCUGUAGCUGGUCUGAGAGGAUGAUCAGCCACACCGGGACUGAGACACGGCCCGGACUCCUACGGGAGGCAGCAGUGGGGAAUAUUGGACAAUGGGGGAAACCCUGAUCCAGCCAUGCCGCGUGUGUGAAGAAGGCCUUUUGGUUGUAAAGCACUUUAAGCAGUGAAGAAGACUCUUCGGUUAAUACCCGGAGACGAUGACAUUAGCUGCAGAAUAAGCACCGGCUAACUCUGUGCCAGCAGCCGCGGUAA
rnacentral:rRNA from 1 species